rnacentral:rRNA from 1 species
CCGGACCUGACUGCUAUCGGAUUGGUACUAAGCCAUGCGAGUCAUUGUAGCAAUACAAGGCGGACGGCUCAGUAACACGUAGUCAACCUAACUCGUGGACGUGGAUAACCUCGGGAAACUGAGAAUAAACCACGAUAGAUCAUAGUGCCUGGAAUGGCUUAUGGUCCAAACAGUUUACUGCCAUGGGAUGGGACUGCGGCCUAUCAGCUUGUUGGUGAGGUAAUGGCCCACCAAGGCGAUUACAGGUACGGGCUCUGAGAGGAGAAGCCCGGAGAUGGGUACUGAGACACGGACCCAGGCCCUAUGGGGCGCAGCAGGCGAGAAACCUUAGCAAUGUGCGAAAGCACGACUGGGUCAGUCCGAGUGAUUCCUGAUAAAGGAGUCUUUUGCCUGUCCUAAAAACACAGGUGAAUAAGGGGUGGGCAAGUCUGGUGUCAGCCGCCGCGGUAAUACCAGCACCUCGAGUGGUCAGGACGUUUAUUGGGCCUAAAGCAUCCGUAGCCGGCUUUGCAAGUCUCCGGUUAAAUCCACCUGCUCAACAGAUGGGCCGCUGGAGAUACUACAGAGCUAGGGAGUGGGAGAGGCAGACGGUAUUCAGUGGGUAGGGGUAAAAUCCUCUGAUCCAUUGAGGACCACCAGUGGCGAAGGCGGUCUGCCAGAACACGUUCGACGGUGAGGGAUGAAAGCUGGGGGAGCAAACCGGAUUAGAUACCCGGGUAGUCCCAGCUGUAAACGAUGCAAACUCGGUGAUGCAUUGGCUUAUGGCCAAUGCAGUGCCGCAGGGAAGCCGUUAAGUUUGCCGCCUGGGAAGUACGGACGCAAGUCUGAAACUUAAAGGAAUUGGCGGGGGAGCACCACAAGGGUGAAGCCUGCGGUUCAAUUGGAUUCAACGCCGG